rnacentral:rRNA from 1 species
AUUGAACGCUGGCGGCAUGCCUUACACAUGCAAGUCGAACGGCAGCACGGGUGCUUGCACCUGGUGGCGAGUGGCGAACGGGUGAGUAAUACAUCGGAACAUGUCCUGUAGUGGGGGAUAGCCCGGCGAAAGCCGGAUUAAUACCGCAUACGAUCUACGGAUGACAGCGGGGGACCUUCGGGCCUCGCGCUAUAGGGUUGGCCGAUGGCUGAUUAGCUAGUUGGUGGGGUAAAGGCCUACCAAGGCGACGAUCAGUAGCUGGUCUGAGAGGACGACCAGCCACACUGGGACUGAGACACGGCCCAGACUCCUACGGGAGGCAGCAGUGGGGAAUUUUGGACAAUGGGCGAAAGCCUGAUCCAGCAAUGCCGCGUGUGUGAAGAAGGCCUUCGGGUUGUAAAGCACUUUUGUCCGGAAAGAAAUACUUGGCACUAAUACGGUCGGGGGAUGACGGUACCGGAAGAAUAAGCACCGGCUAACUACGUG